AGGGAUGGGGAUCCUUUGGCCCUCCAGACGUUGCUGAAUUAAGUUUCCAUUGGCUUAGCCAACAGGGCUAAUGACAAGGAGGGUGGAAGUUGCAGUUCAGCAUCGUCUGGUGGGCCAGAGGUUCCCCACCCCAG